rnacentral:rRNA from 1 species
AUUGAACGCUGGCGGCAGGCCUAACACAUGCAAGUCGAGCGGAUGAAGGGAGCUUGCUCCUGGAUUCAGCGGCGGACGGGUGAGUAAUGCCUAGGAAUCUGCCUGGUAGUGGGGGAUAACGUCCGGAAACGGGCGCUAAUACCGCAUACGUCCUGUGGGAGAAUGUGGGGGAUCUUCGGACCUCACGCUAUCAGAUGAGCCUAGGUCGGAUUAGCUAGUUGGUGGGGUAAAGGCCUACCAAGGCGACGAUCCGUAACUGGUCUGAGAGGAUGAUCAGUCACACUGGAACUGAGACACGGUCCAGACUCCUACGGGAGGCAGCGGUGGGGAAUAUUGGACAAUGGGCGAAAGCCUGAUCCAGCCAUGCCGCGUGUGUGAAGAAGGUCUUCGGAUUGUAAAGCACUUUAAGUUGGGAGGAAGGGCAGUAAGUUAAUACCUUGCUGUUUUGACGUUACCAACAGAAUAAGCACCGGCUAACUUCGUG